rnacentral:rRNA from 1 species
GACGAACGCUGGCGGCGUGCUUAACACAUGCAAGUCGAACGGAAAGGCCCUGCUUUUGUGGGGUGCUCGAGUGGCGAACGGGUGAGUAACACGUGAGUAACCUGCCCUUGACUUUGGGAUAACUUCAGGAAACUGGGGCUAAUACCGGAUAGGAGCUCCUGCUGCAUGGUGGGGGUUGGAACGUUUCGGCGGUUGGGGAUGGACUCGCGGCUUAUCAGCUUGUUGGUGGGGUAGUGGCUUACCAAGGAUUUGACGGGUAGCCGGCCUGAGAGGGUGACCGGCAACAAUGGGAAUGAGAUACGGACCAGAAUGCAAGGGGAGGCAGCAGUGGGGAAUAUUGCAAAAUGGGCGGAAGCCUGAUGCAGAAACGCCGCGGGCGGGAUGACGGCCUUCGGGUUGUAAACCGAUUUAGACUGUGACGAAGCGUGAGUGACGGUAAUGGGUAAAGAAGCACCGGCUAACUACGUG